UCUACUGGGGCUGAGAUUCUAUUUGCUUGUGAAAGUUCCUGGAUCCUUUAGAAUUGGUUUUCCUUCCCUAGUAUUGUGAGGCCAUGAGGACCCCGUGUAAGAGCUCCAGGGGGGCCUCUCACACAGGUCAUUCUCUGGUUCAGCUCUCAGCUGCUGACUGCAGGACUGGCUCCAUGGCCUUCCCAUCUUCUGAGUUACAGGCAUUCAUGGUUGGUGGCUCCUGUGGUGACCAGAACAGAAACUGCCACUUGCUGAAAGAGGAAAGGACAGCAACAGCCUCGGGCCAGGGAGGUGACCACCAGGAAAUGAGGUGGGACACAGCCUGGUUACCUGUGCUCAGACAGCUUGGACGUGGUACUCAGAGGGUGCCUUUGAAGCUGGAUGAAUGGACAAGUCACUACAUGGAAAUAGAAGCUCAGAGAGAAAGCAGAAAUGCCAAGAAGAACAGAUAGCUGACAGGGCCCACUGGUACGGGGCCGCUUCCCUGUCUAAGAAGCUCGCUGUGUGGCAAAGGCGCUCUGCAGGGGCUGUAGGUGAAACCUGGGAGGAAAGCGCUGAACUGGGGAGCAGGCAGCCCAGCCCCAACCUGCUGAGGCUGCAUUCUGAGGACCCACUGGCCCAGCCCUGUUCUGUGGGUUUGAUGUUUCCCGCAACUUGGGCCAAAUUCCCAGUGAAACUCACUGGGUAGGUCGUGAGUUCUCACUCAGAGGUGCAGGGUCUGACCCCUCUCUGGGCAGAGAGAAUGAGCUCCGUCACUCUCAGGGCCAAACACGGGACAUGACUGAACUUGA